AGUGAACGCUGGCGGUAGGCCUAACACAUGCAAGUCGAACGGCAGCACAGGAGAGCUUGCUCUCUGGGUGGCGAGUGGCGGACGGGUGAGGAAUACAUCGGAAUCUACUUUUUCGUGGGGGAUAACGUAGGGAAACUUACGCUAAUACCGCAUACGACCUACGGGUGAAAGCAGGGGAGCUUCGGACCUUGCGCGAUUGAAUGAGCCGAUGUCGGAGUAGCUAGUUGGCGGGGGAAAGGCCCACCAAGGCGACGAUCCGUAGCUGGUCUGAGAGGAUGAUCAGCCACACUGGAACUGAGACACGGUCCAGACUCCUACGGGAGGCAGCAGUGGGGAAUAUUGGACAAUGGGCGCAAGCCUGAUCCAGCCAUACCGCGUGGGUGAAGAAGGCCUUCGGGUUGUAAAGCCCUUUUGUUGGGAAAGAAAUCCAGCUGGCUAAUACCCGAUUGGGAUGACGGUACCCAAAGAAUAAGCACCGGCUAACUUCGUGCCAGCAGCCGCGGUAACAC
rnacentral:rRNA from 1 species